rnacentral:ncRNA from 2 species
UCGAUUAUGUGUAACUGGCGAAACGCGGAUCACCGUGAGGGAGCACAUAAUGACGAAUGCCGUUCGCCUGGGCAGAGGUA